rnacentral:rRNA from 1 species
AAGACUAACUUAUGCGAAAGCAUUCACCAAGGAUGUCUUCUUUAAUCAAGAACGAAAGUUGGGGGAUCGAAGACGAUCAGAUACCGUCGUAGUCUCAACCAUAAACUAUGCCGACUAGGGAUGAGUGAACGUUGCUUAUUCGACUUCAUUCGCACCUUAUGAGAAAUCAAAGUCUUUGGGUUCCGGGGGGAGUAUGGUCGCAAGGCUGAAACUUAAAGGAAUUGACGGAAGGGCACACCAGGAGUGGAGCCUGCGGCUUAAUUUGACUCAACACGGGAAAAC